UCCAUAGUUAAUAACAAUCAUUUUACCUGUUUAGUGUUGCCCUUAUUUGUUUGAACUGCGCAAGCAAAAGAUGAUAAUCAGUUCUAAAAUGAUAUACAAUCGUUAAAACCUAAAGUCAAGCAAUGAUAACACAUUUAUGAGCGAGCAAUUUGGUUCAGUGUAGUCUGCUUUUUCUCUUGGCAGUUUUUGCCCAUAACAAGGCUCAAAAUAGAGUUGUUCGAAGACGUCAAAAAAUGAGAAGAAUCAAAUUGAUCAUGGCGGCAAAUUUACUCAAAAUUGGGUAACUGGCGCUUACGUGUUGUUUUUGUUAUUUUUUUUUGCGAUGCAAACAGCAAACCGUCUGAAAAAAGGAGCAAAUAGAAAUGUUUGAAAUUAGUUGUUAUCGGACUCGUUGGUUGGAUAUACGGCGAAUAAAUUCAAAGAUCUCCCGUGUCCCGGCGAACAAAGGUAAAUUUCUUGAAAUAAGCCUUUAUAAAAAUAAAAUUCAUUUAAAAUGC